UCUCCUCUCUAGUUGAAAGCAAUUGAAGAGAAUCUUAAUCCCAAUUGCCGACCCUACAACUUACAACUGGAUAGAUAAUUGUGAGAGGCCUAACGGAGGUCAUCGAUCCAAAUACCGGGGCCCCUUAACAAUUGCAGAGAUCCCCCCAACAAUCCGUACAGAAGAAUUGCAGGAAUCAAUGAAUGUGGAAUAAGAGCUCGGAAACAAAAGAGAAGCGACCCUUUGGAAGAAGAAUCGUACCAGUGGUUGUGGCCUGUGGGCAUGUGCAGGGCAAAUGGCAACAUUCAGGAUCAAAAAGAAAAGAAAGCCCAAAGAGUAGCAUAGCUGGAGCAUGCAGCCACGCCCUAUUCAUAAAGAUAAGACAGCAGCAAGGAAAAUAGAAGGGGAUUGGGCCUGUUAC